UAAUUGCACUCCAAUAAGCAAAGCUAACAGUAAAAGUCAUCUGGACAUGUACGUUAAAGCACAGAGGGAGAUGAACAUUGAGCAAUUGUUGCCGGUGCCAUUGGGACUGACAGGACCCUCUUCGAUUUCUCAUCUAUCAAGGUUGAAUGCUUGGACCCUUCUUUUGCUUUUUAACCCAAGAGACCGCCGCCUGCUUCUAUGUUCUUGGCUUCUUUAAACACCCACUUCCCGUUCUGGGCUUUUCCAUUACAUUCUACUUUCAUUUGAUUUUCAUUUUUCGGCAGACAAGAAAAAUAAACAAGUCUUUUAAAUCUCUGUAAGUGAUAAUUGUAAGCAAAUUACAGCAAGAAGAAGAGAACUCGAAUAACAUUACCAUGUCUGCUCCAUCUCCCACUAUUCGUCCUUUUACACCAUACAAGAUGGGGAAGUUCGAUCUUUCUUAUAGGUUUGGAUAGAGUUGAGAUCCAUGGGUCUCAUGGUUACCUAAUUGAUCAGUUUGUGAAAGAUAAGGUGAACGGUCAAUACUGAUCAAUAUGGUGAUCUAUAGCUUUGGAGGUAGUUGAAGCUGUAGGCGAAGAGAUGGGAGUAGAUAAAGAUGGUGUCAGAUUAUCUUCAUUUGCAAACUUUAUGGAAUCUGGAGACUCAAAUCCUGAAGCUUUAGGAGUUCACAUGGCUGAAUCCUUGAAUAAAUAUGGAAUUCUUUACUGCGACAUGGUUGAGCCAAGAAUGAAAACAGUGGGAGAAAAAUCUGAAUGUUCAGAUCAAACAGUCUUCUGCAUGAGAAAGGCUUUUGAAGGUUGACUGGACUCUAAUCGGAGAUCGAACUCGACUUCCUAUCUUGAUACUACUGUUCAACUAACUCAACAUAUCAGCAUUCUUAUUUUUUUUAGUUUACUUGUUUAUGUUUAUCAACAUGGCACAGCUGAAUUAGAGUGGCUCAUAUUAUAAGUAUAACUGGACACCUAAAAGCUCAAAAUGAAGGAGACUGUAUGUGCAAAGUGGUGAGCGAAGCGGAGUCUUUCGCAUACAAGUCCCUCACAUUGUGCUGUAUUUACUAUUUGUACUACCAAUUGAUAGUUGGGGGUGGAGCAACCCCUCUUUAGCAGUAUGGUAAGGUAAUUUUGAGUUAGGAUUUUUAUUUUUAAUUAUUAUUAUUAUUAUUAUUAUUAUUAUUAUUUUUUUUUUUUUAUGGAGUAGGAGCAUUAUUGUAUUAAU